rnacentral:rRNA from 1 species
UACGGGGGGAGCAAGCGUUGUUCGGAAUCACUGGGCGUAAAGGGAGUCUCGGCGGUUUGGUAAGUGGGAUGUGAAAUCCCCGGGCUCACCCCGGGACCUGCAUCCCAAACUGCUGAGCUUGAGUACAGGAGAGGGUGGGGGAAUUCCAGGUGUAGCGGUGAAAUGCGUAGAUAUCUGGAGGAACACCGGUGGCGAAGGCGCCCACCUGGCCUGCUACUGACGCUGAAGCUCGAAAGCUAGGGGAGCAAACGGG